CCCUGUUCUUUCUUUGUAUAUAUCUUUGAUCAAAUCAGGCCAAAGAUCAAUAUUUUCAUCUGCCAAAUUUCUCUCCUUUUCUUUUUCUAGGAAAACACACACACACACACACACCUAAUUCAUUUCUCAAGUUUCCUCUCUUUCAGUGUAUAAAAUUAGGGUUUCUGGGGGGAAGAAGAUAGAUGCCUUCUUCAAAAAUCUAAUUUCUGCUGAGAUGCAAUAAAUGGAAAUCCAAUUUACAUCGAGGAUUAAUUUGAAUAAAUAUCAAUCAUAAUUUAAUUACGAUUAAUUUAAAUAAAUAUUAAUCAUAUAAUUUAAUUAUGUUACAUUCUUAAUUCAUUCUCAUUAAUUUCUCACCACAUUUAAUCAUUCUUACUACCCUAAAAAAAUCAUUCAUUUCUCACCACAAGCAAAUUGUCUCUCGAUUAAGGAAGAUUAAUUGGUUCAUCAUUCAUAGUGUAUGAAAUGUCGAUGGUUUCUGUCUACAUUUUAUUUUACUACCUUAGUUUAAUUCUGAGUAUGAGAUUUGUGUAUAUAUGAAGGGGCCGGUUAUAUAAUAGGUCCCAGAUCUAACAAUUCGAAUAUAAUGUUUUAAUUAAAUUUUAGUUGUUAUGUACAUUGGAGUUUUUGUGAUUAAACAAAUAAACAUAUACUGAAUAUGAUUUUAUUAAUAGGUUGCAGCUUAUCAAGACAAUUAUGAAUUAUGUUUGUGGAGGCAUCUUAGUUUUUCAUGAUAUACACGAAAAGAUUAAAUUUCUCAUUUUUUGUAUAGUUGUAUUUGCGACGAGAUUCUCUGGUACGUAAUUAAUGAGUAUUAAUUUAAUCAGUUAACAUGCACAAUUAUUGUUGGAGCGUAUAUAAAUAAAGGCAAAUUAUUGGGUGCGACCGGUUUGAAAGUUUACAUUUCUUCACAAUAAUAUUUACUUUUAUUCAUAAUUUUUUUUACUUUUAGUUAUUUUCACUCAUUAAUACUUAUAUUCUUAACUAUUUAGUCAAAUAAUCAUUGUCGUACAAAAAGUAAUUAUUGUUACAAUGAAAUGUAAUAUUUCUAAAGUAUUACAUUUAUUCAUGAUAAGUGUUACUUUUAUUUAUGAGAACUUGUACUAUUACGAAUAUAUAUCUUAUGCUUAUUAAAAGUAAUCGAUCGCAUAUAUAAUAUGCGGCCGGUCGCAUGCAAGACCAACUGAUAAAUAAAUAUUUAUCGAAAACAUGGUUAAUGAAUUGCUUUAAACGGUUUAGAACUUUCUCCUGGCCAGACAGCUAAUUAAAUUCUUGCUAAUUAGGAUGCAAUGGUUUUAUUUAAUCAUCAUAUGUCUCUUAUUGUAUAGGAGAAUUAUCAAAUAAAAAUCAUCGACAUAAUUCUAUAAAAUAAAAAUCAAUUUAAUCCGUAAAUUUUUAUCGAUAGAUAUUUAAGAUUGAUUUUGUAUGUCUUUUUACACACAAAUUAAUGCUUUUUUAUGAUUACAAUUUUUUAAACAUAAAAUAAUAUUUUCUUUGUUAUUAUGCUUUUUCAAAUACGAAAUAAUGAUUUUAUUAUAUUAAAGUUAUACUUUAUUCACAAUUAACAGAAUGGUUUGUGUAUUCUCAUUUUAAGUAAGGUUUAUUAUAUGAACCACUUUUUCUUAUAUAUAUAAGUAUAUUAUCACUACAAAAAUAAUCCUGAAUAGUGGCGGAUUUUAGUGACAGAAGGGAUUAUUUAUAUAUUCUCAUUGUAAAAAUUGCAGCGUUAAUAUUUCCAUCAUUAACGACGAUAAUUAGUGGUCGUCGUUAAUCCGUCGCUAAUCUGUACUUAGAGUUAUGUCACAUUAUGAUUUUUUAUUGUUUUUCAAAUCAUUAUUAGAAGUCAGGUAUAUCAUAUUGUGUUAUUCUUAAUAAUUGAUAAACCACAUUAUAAUGUCCAACUGUGUGUGUCUCCUUUUCUAGUUUAUUUUUUCAGUGUAGAUUAAUUGUUUUAUCUAAUUAAUUAAUUCCUAUAUAUCAAUACGCACAAAACCGUUCGUUGCAACAUAACUUUAGCUUUUGACUUUUCCUUUAAAAUAAACAGGUAGUGUUUGGUAGACCUACUCCAACUUCUACAUCCAAAAGCUGAUGAGAAGAAAAUAGAAAUUCAUAAAAAAGAAAUUCAGAAUAAUCCAAAUAAUGAAAGCAUCUGUUAGGUGUACAACAUUUGAACUUCAAUAAUUUUAAUUAUAUAUAGAUAUAUAUAGAGUGAGAAUGAUUAUUUUCGUAAGAAAUCUAAAUAACGAAUAAGUUAGUAUAUAUGACUGAAUAAACUGUUUGUAAUAUAUGAAUAGUCGUAAUUAGUUAAUUGAUGAAAUUUUUGCCCCAUCAAAAUUUGAACUCAUAUUUGAAUAAUUAUUCGUGCAUUGCAAACAACUUAUUCAAACUUAUUCCUCCACUUGCGAAAUGUUCCACCACCAACAAUAUAUUCAUGGGGUAUAAGUAACUUGAGGUCAUGAUUGAAAUUGACAGAUUUAUUUUAGGUCUUAAUAAAUGGUUGGUUUAUUAAUAUUGUCUUGAUUGUUGAUACUUAUUAAAUAGAUUAUUGUUCAAUUGUAUAAAUUAUUACUAAUGAAAAUUAGUAAAUUUUUGAGGAAAAAAAGAUUAGUGAAGUUUAUGUAAUGAAGAUUGUCAAAAGCGUCCGAUGAAACCUAACUCAAAUGGUAAAAUUGAGGCACUCAAAGACUCUAUUUUGUGAGAGGUUUUGGAUUCAAUCCCGCCUGCGUGCAGGUAGUUUUUCCACCGUAUGGGUAGUGUUCCGUCUGCGUGCGGUUGCUUUCCCAUCUUUGUGUGGUGUAGGGUUCCGUAUGCGUGCGGGGAUUGCUGAUUUGUUUAUAUAUUAAAUAUCUCUCGUAAUUCUAAAAAAAAAAGGAUUGUCAAAAGCGAUUUGCAAAUUGUAUGAAAGACGAGUGAAUAAAUGAUAGUUUACUCAUAUA